rnacentral:misc_RNA from 1 species
ACAAUAAUCCACACUCGUGUUGACCUUUUCUCUUCUUCUUCUUCUCGUUUAUGUGAGGAGAAGGGAGAGAGAGAGGGUCGUUACAACAACACAAAAUACAACACUUACAAUUAACAUUGACAACCAUUAAGGGAGGAGAGAACAAAUGAAUUAAAGAUGUAUAAA